rnacentral:rRNA from 1 species
CCUACGGGAGGCUGCAGUGAGGAAUAUUGGUCAAUGGGCGGGAGCCUGAACCAGCCAAGUAGCGUGAGGGAAGACGGUCCUAUGGAUUGUAAACCUCUUUAGGCGGGGAGCAAUGCCGGGCACGUGUGCCCGGAGGGAGAGUACCCGCAGAAAAAGCAUCGGCUAACUCCGUGCAAGCGGCCGCGGUAAAACGGGGGAUGCGAGCGUUAUCCGGAUUGAUUGGGUUUAAGGGGGGCGUAGGCGGAUUUUUAAGUCAGCGGUAAAAUGUCCGGGCUCAACCCGGGCCGGCCGUUGAAACUGGGGAUCUUGAGUGGGCUAGAAGUAUGCGGAAUGCGUGGUGUAGCGGUGAAAUGCAUAGAUAUCACGCAGAACUCCGAUUGCGAAGGCAGCAUACCGGCGCCCGACUGACGCUGAGGCACGAAAGCGUGGGGAUCGAACAGGAUUAGAUACCCCUGUAGUC